CAAUUACCCUUAUUAAAUUGAACAAAUCAUAUCUUAUUAAUACGGAGGCUAAUUUUUAUUUAAUUUUUAAAUCGUAUAGGACCAAGAAAAAAAGGGGGAGGGUAAUAUCCAAAAUUCAUGAUGUUGAAUGAACCAAAGCAUACAUACUAGUUUUCUUGAUAUAAAAUGUAUAUUUUUUACAUUGAAACAUAGAGCAUCAAGUAACUAAAGGCAGUUGAACAAAAGUCAAAGGUAAGAAAGGGA
rnacentral:lncRNA from 1 species